rnacentral:piRNA from 1 species
UCCUUAGUGGUGACUAAUGAAUGUUUGC